AUUGAACGCUGGCGGCAGGCCUAACACAUGCAAGUCGAACGGUAGCACAGAGAGCUUGCUCUCGGGUGACGAGUGGCGGACGGGUGAGUAAUGUCUGGGAAACUGCCCGAUGGAGGGGGAUAACUACUGGAAACGGUAGCUAAUACCGCAUAACGUCGCAAGACCAAAGUGGGGGACCUUCGGGCCUCACACCAUCGGAUGUGCCCAGAUGGGAUUAGCUAGUAGGUGGGGUAAUGGCUCACCUAGGCGACGAUCCCUAGCUGGUCUGAGAGGAUGACCAGCCACACUGGAACUGAGACACGGUCCAGACUCCUACGGGAGGCAGCAGUGGGGAAUAUUGCACAAUGGGCGCAAGCCUGAUGCAGCCAUGCCGCGUGUAUGAAGAAGGCCUUCGGGUUGUAAAGUACUUUCAGUCAGGAGGAAGGGUGUGAAAUUAAUACUUUCAUGCAUUGACGUUACUGACAGAAGAAGCACCGGCUAACUCCGUGCCAGCCGCCGCCGUAA
rnacentral:rRNA from 1 species